ACUCAAAUGAAUAGACGGGGACCCGCACAAGCAGAGGAUGAUGUGGUUUAAUAUGACGCUACGCGUAGAACCUUACCAAGGCUUGACAUCCCUAGAACCCCCUGGAAACAGGGGGGUGUCUUCGGAAGCUAGGUGACAGGUGCUGCAUGGCCGUCGUCAGCUCGUGUCGUGAGAUGUUGGGUUAAGUCCCGCAACGAGCGCAACCCUUAUCGUAUGUUGUAUUUUUCAUGCGAGACUGCCCGGGCCAACCGGGAGGAAGGUGGGGAUGACGUCAGGUCGGCAUGGCCCUUACGCCUUGGGCUACUCACGUCAUACAAUGGCCAGUACAACGCGCUGCGAAACCGCGAGGUGGAGCUAAUCGCAUCAAAACUGGUCUCAGUUCGGAUUGGAGGCUGCAACUCGCCUCCAUGAAGUCGGAUUUGCUAGUAAACGUGGGUCAGCAUACCACGUUGAAUACGUUCCCGGGUCUUGCACACACCGCCCGU
rnacentral:rRNA from 1 species